rnacentral:rRNA from 1 species
UAAGUAAGUGGUGGAAAUUAAACCAAAUGGGAUAUCUUUAGUAAUUGCGAAUGAACAAGGAUAUGCUUAGCUUGACAAAUGGAGCUAUUGGCUUUGAAUUGUAUUUGUGGAAUGUAUUACCAACAGAGGUGCAGGUGCCAGCCUAUUAAAUAAAGCGUCAAUGAGGGUGAGAAUCCUGUUUGUCAUGUGCAGCCCUUUGUGCACGGUGUAUAUUUGCUGAGUCACACUCCUUGGCAUUGGAAUGCUAAGUGGGUGGUAAGUGUCAUGUAAAGGUAAACAUGCAAUUGGGACUGAUAGCACACAAGUACCAUGAGGGACAUCUGAAAAGGACUGUGAACAGAUAAUUAAAUGAGUUUGUAUUUGCUGAACACAAAGUAAACAGACUUGAUUUGCUUGGUGGGAGUGCUGCACUUGCUUGACAAGAGCUUUGGGCUGUGGGUGUAAUGAUUCUUUCUUUGCAUGCCAGUUUCUAUUUGUACAUCUGAUGACCUUUGCACAUGAAUGAUAAGUCUCCUGUGGGGGGUGGAUUGCAUGUGCAUGUAAUGAUUUGUGUUUUGAUAAAUGUGUCUGGUGUAUGUGUUUGUGUUCCUGUGCUCGGGGAUGCUUCCUUCCUUGGACUUACAAGUCCUGACACACACAUGCUGGCAAAAUGCUUUUGAUUGACCCG